rnacentral:rRNA from 1 species
AUUGAACGCUGGCGGCAGGCUUAACACAUGCAAGUCGAGCGGAGAUGAGGUGCUUGCACCUUAUCUUAGCGGCGGACGGGUGAGUAAUGCUUAGGAAUCUGCCUAUUAGCGGGGGACAACAUUCCGAAAGGAAUGCUAAUACCGCAUACGUCCUACGGGAGAAAGCAGGGGAUCUUCGGACCUUGCGCUAAUAGAUGAGCCUAAGUCGGAUUAGCUAGUUGGUGGGGUAAAGGCCCACCAAGGCGACGAUCUGUAGCGGGUCUGAGGGGAUGAUCCGCCACACUGGGACUGAGACACGGCCCAGACUCCUACGGGAGGCAGCAGUGGGGAAUAUUGGACAAUGGGGGAAACCCUGAUCCAGCCAUGCCGCGUGUGUGAAGAAGGCCUUAUGGUUGUAAAGCACUUUAAGCGAGGAGGAGGCUACUGAGACUAAUACUCUUGGAUAGUGGACGUUACUCGCAGAAUAAGCACCGGCUAACUCUGUGCCAGCCGCCGCAGUAA